rnacentral:lncRNA from 1 species
ACCUCGUCUGCCUCUCUCCUGCAUCCCCCCCUGUCUGGUAACAUGUACCUCGUCUGCCCUCUGCCUGUCUCCCCCUGUCUGGUACAUGUCCCGCGUCUGCCCUCUCCUGUCUCCCCCUGUCUGGUACAUGUACCUCGUCCGCCUCUCCUGUCUGCCCCCUGUCUGGUACUACCAGUACCUCGUCGCCCUCUCCUGUCUCCCCCUGUCCUGGUACAUGUACCUCGUCUGCCCUCUCCUGUCUCCCCCUGUCUGGUACAGGUACCUCGUCUGCCCUCUCCUGUCUCCCCCUGUCUGGUACAGGUACCUCGUCUGCCCUCUCCUGUCUCCCCCUGUCUGGUACAGACCUCGUCUGCCCUCUCCUGUCUCCCCCUGUCUGACAAUGUACCACGUCGUCGCCUCUCCCUGUCUCCCCCUGUCUGGUACAGGUACCUCGUCUGCCCUCUCCUGUCUCCCCCUGUCUGGUACAUGUACCUCGUCUGCCCUCUCCUGUCUCCCCCUGUCUUGUACAGGACCCUCGUCUGUCUGGGCCCCUCCUGUCUCCCCUGUCUGGUACAGGUACCUCGUCUGCUGUCCCUGUCUCCUGUCUCCUCCCCCUGUCUGGUACACUGUACCUCGUCUGCCCUCUCCUGUCUCCCCCUGUCUGGUACAGGUACCCUCGUCUGCCCUCUCCUCCCUGUCUCCCCUGUCUGGUACAGGUACCUCGUCUGCCCUCCUGUCUCCCCCUGUCUGGUACAGGUACCACUCGUCUGCCCUCUCCUGUCUCCCCUGUCUGGUACAGGUACCCCUCGUCUGCCUCCUGCCCUCUCCUGUCUCCCUCCCCCUGUCGGGUACAUGUACCUCGUCUGCCCUCUCCUGUCUCCCCCUGUCUGGUACAGGUACCGUCGCUGCCCUCUCCUGUCUCCCCCUGUCUGGUGCAGGUACCUCCACCACACUCAUCCCUCUCUCCUCUCUCUCUCUCUGGCCUGUCUCCCCCUGUCUGGUACAGGUACCUCCACCACACUCACCCCUCUCUCUCUCUCUCUCUGGCCUGUCUCCCCCUGUCUGGUGCAGGUACCCCCCACCACCACACUCACCCCUCUCGUCUCUCUCUCUCUGGCCUGU